rnacentral:misc_RNA from 1 species
UUUCCGUAGGUGAACCUGCGGAAGGAUCAUUAAAAAAUUGGACUCCAUUGGUGAGUUCAUUAAUAAUCCCUACCCUUUGUGAAUUUGUUUGUUUGAAUAAUUUUUUUUCCAAAAAAAAUUAUUGAAUGUCUUUCCUUGUUUUGGUGGAGCUUGUAAAGUGAAACCAGGCAGGGGAAUGGCAAACAAUAAUUAUUUUUGAAAAAGACCUUUUUUUAAAAUUAAACUUUUUGUAUUCAUUUGUCUAAAAUUAAUUUUUAUAAUAUAAAAACAACUUUUGACAAUGGAUCUCUUGGUUCUCGCAACGAUGAAGAACGCAGCAAAAUGCGAUAAGUAGUGUGAAUUGCAGAAUACGUGAAUCAUCGAAUCUUCGAACGCAUAUUGCACUUUUUUAGUUUACUAAAAAAGUAUGUCUGUUUGAGUAUCAGUAAAAUAUUCUCAUAAAAAACAUUGUUUUUUUUAUGGUUAUGAGUGUUUUACAACGAUAACAAGUUGUUUCACUUUAAAUUCUUUGUUAUCAAAAAAUCAUUAAAGCUAAUUUUAAAGAUUUUUUAAAAUUGGAUAAAAUUUUCCCGUAAAAAGGAAUAACCUAAACAAUUUUAAAAAAUUAAAAUUGGUUUGAUUUUUUUUGAAACCCAAAGGAAAAAAAAAACGAAAUUAACUUGAUCUCAAAUCAGAUAAGAGUACCCGCUGAACUUAAGCAUAUCAAUAAGCGGAGGAAAAGAAACUAACUAGGAUUCCCUCAGUAACGGCGAGUGAAGCGGGAAGAGCUCAAAUUUGAAAUCUUCAAGGUUUUACCUUGACGAAUUGUAGUUUAAAGAAGUGUUUUCUGUUGGAGUUUUGGUAAAAGUUCUUUGGAAAAGGACAUCAUAGAGGGUGAGAAUCCCGUAUUUGACCAUUAUCUCCAGCUUUGUGAUACACUUUCAAAGAGUCGGAUUGUUUGGGAAUGCAGUCCAAAAUGGGUGGUAAAUUUCAUCUAAAGCUAAAUACUGGCGAGAGACCGAUAGCGAACAAGUACCGUGAGGGAAAGAUGAAAAGAACUUUGAAAAGAGAGUUAAACAGUACGUGAAAUUGUCAAAAGGGAAGCGUUUGACACCAGUGUUGUUUCUCGAAAAUCAAUUAAAAAAGGCCGGAUUUUGUGUUGUAUUGACUUUAUCAGCUUUCUGCACUCUUUUCUUGUCUUUUUUAAUGCACUUUUCGUUUAACAAGUCAACAUCAAUUUCUUUUGUUGUAAAAGGUCAUUGGAAGGUGGCUUUCUUUUCGGAGAAAGUGUUUAUAGCCUUUGGCCUCUGCAAUCGGAGAGAUUGAGGUCUGCAGCGUAGAUCCUUCGGGUUAGAUACAUUUGUGCUAAGUUAUAGCCUUUCAUAGACAACUUGUUGACUAUGAUCAGUCAUGUAGCUUACUCGCUUAUGCUAUUUUACCUACGCUUAGGAUGUUG